rnacentral:misc_RNA from 1 species
UCCGGUUUGUCACCGGCAGUCUCGCAUGAGUGCCCAACUGAAUGAUGGCAACUGAAAGCGAGGGUUGCGCUCGUUGCGGGACUUAACCCAACAUCUCACGACACGAGCUGACGACAGCCAUGCAGCACCUGUGUGGCGUCCGGCCGAACCGAAGGAAUCCGUCUCUGGAUUCCGCGACGCCCAUGUCAAGGCCUGGUAAGGUUCUUCGCGUUGCAUCGAAUUAAACCACAUGCUCCACCGCUUGUGCGGGCCCCCGUCAAUUCCUUUGAGUUUCAGUCUUGCGACCGUACUCCCCAGGCGGAAUACUUAACGCGUUAGCUGCGGCUCUGGACCGUUGACGGGCCCAAAACCUAGUAUUCAUCGUUUAUGGCAUGGACUAC